AGGGCCCGUCGUGCAGCCUGCUCUGCUCUUACCCAUCGCCUUGGCUUCACUCAGGUGACUGUCAUUUCACAUCCCCAAGAUAGACCUGGAUGUUGGAUGCAGCUUUUUAUAUGGUGGACUACAUUUAUUGAUUUAUAUAUGUUGAACCAUCUCUUCAUCUCUUGAAUGAAGCCUACUUGAUCAUAGUGGAUGAUCUUUUUGAUUUCUUUAGAGGAUUUCUUCAUUUCCUUUUAAAGGAACUCUAUGAUAUUUAAAAAGGUGUUUUAAUAGCUGAAAUACCCAACACAAGGGAGAUACAACCUGUAGAAACCACCUCCAGUAGAUAGGCAUGGCUCCCUAGUUGAGGGAUGGGACCACUCAUGCAUCUCAAAAUUUUUAACUCAGAAAUGUUCCUGACCAAAGGAAAGACAGGAGAGAGAGAGAGAGAGAGAGAGAGAGAGAGAGAGAGAGAGAGAGAGAGAGAGAGAGAGAGAGAAAGACUGAAGAAAAGGCCAUCCAGAGACUGCCCCACCUAGGGAUCCAUCCCUUCUGCAGACAUCAUACCCCUUCCUGAUGCCAAGAAGUGCUUGCUGAUUAGAACCUGGCAUGGCUGUUCCCUGAGAGAUUCUACCAGCACCUGACCAAUACAGAUGGAGAUACUCAUAGCCAACCAAUGAGUACUGAGCCCAGGAACCCCAAUGAAAGAGCUAGGGGAAGGACUGAAAGAGCUGAAGAGGAUUGCAACCCCAUAAGAAGAACAGUAUCAACUAACUGGAACACCCAGAGAUCCCAGGGACUAAACCACCAACCGAAGAUUAUACAUGGAGGAAGCCAGGACUCCAGAUAUAUGUGUAGCAGAGGAUGGCCUUAUCUGACAUCAAUAGGAAGGGAGGGAGGCUUGAUGCCCCAGCAUAGGGUGAUGGUAGAGAGGUGAGUAGCAGGAGUGGGUGGAGAAGCACCCUCAUAGAGGCAAAGGGGAGGGAGGAAACUUGGAGGGG
rnacentral:lncRNA from 1 species